GACGAACGCUGGCGGCGUGCUUAACACAUGCAAGUCGAACGGAAAGGCCCUGCUUUUGUGGGGUGCUCGAGUGGCGAACGGGUGAGUAACACGUGAGUAACCUGCCCUUGACUUUGGGAUAACUUCAGGAAACUGGGGCUAAUACCUGAUAGGAGCUCCUGCUGCAUGGGGGGGGUUGGAAAGUUUCGGCUGUUGGGGAUGGACUCGCGGCUUAUCAGCUUGUUGGUGGGGUAGUGGCUUACCAAGGCUUUGACGGGUAGCCGGCAUGAGAGGGUGACCGGCCACAUUGGGACUGAGAUACGGCCCAGACUCCUACGGGAGGCAGCAGUGGGGAAUAUUGCACAAUGGGCGGAAGCCUGAUGCAGCAACGCCGCGUGCGGGAUGACGGCCUUCGGGUUGUAAACCGCUUUCGCCUGUGACGAAGCGUGAGUGACGGUAAUGGGUAAAGAAGCACCGGCUAACUACGUG
rnacentral:rRNA from 1 species